CGAGGCCACGUGCUGCAACAUAGCCCCAGUUGAGGUAGUAGGUUGUAUAGUCAGAGUUACACCAAUUUCUGGCGGACUGUACAACCCGCUAGCUUUCCCUGGGGAUUGCCUAGCAACGCUGAAGACCUU
rnacentral:precursor_RNA from 10 species